UACGUAGGGUGCGAGCGUUAAUCGGAAUUACUGGGCGUAAAGCGUGCGCAGGCGGUUUUGUAAGCCAGAUGUGAAAUCCCCGGGCUUAACCUGGGAAUGGCAUUUGGGACUGCAAGGCUCGAGUGCGGCAGAGGAGACUGGAAUUCCCGGUGUAGCGGUGAAAUGCGUAGAGAUCGGGAAGAACAUCGGUGGCGAAAGCGCUCUACUGGACCGCAACUGACACUCAGGGACGAAAGCUAGGGGAGCGAAUGGG
rnacentral:rRNA from 1 species